UACGUAGGGGGGCAAGCGUUUGUCCGGAUUUAUUGGGCGUAAAGAGCGUGUAGGCGGCUUGACAGGUCUGCUGUGAAAAACUCGAGGCUCAACCUCGAGAUGUCGGCGGAAACCGUCUGGCUAGAGUCCGGAAGAGGAGAGUGGAAUUCCUGGUGUAGCGGUGAAAUGCGCAGAUAUCAGGAAGAACACCUAUGGCGAAGGCAGCUCUCUGGGGACGGUACUGACGCUGAGACGCGAAAAGCGUGGGGGAGCGAACAGG
rnacentral:rRNA from 1 species